ACCCGCUGAACUUAAGCAUAUCAAUAAGCGGAGGAAAAGAAACCAACAGGGAUUGCCCUAGUAACGGCGAGUGAAGCGGCAACAGCUCAAAUUUGAAAUCUGGCGUCUUCGGCGUCCGAGUUGUAAUUUGCAGAGGGCGCUUUGGCAUUGGCAGCGGUCCAAGUUCCUUGGAACAGGACGUCACAGAGGGUGAGAAUCCCGUACGUGGUCGCUAGCCUUUACCGUGUAAAGCCCCUUCGACGAGUCGAGUUGUUUGGGAAUGCAGCUCUAAAUGGGAGGUAAAUUUCUUCUAAAGCUAAAUACUGGCCAGAGACCGAUAGCGCACAAGUAGAGUGAUCGAAAGAUGAAAAGCACUUUGGAAAGAGAGUUAAAAAGCACGUGAAAUUGUUGAAAGGGAAGCGCUUGCAGCCAGACUUGCCUGUAGUUGCUCAUCCGGGUUUCUACCCGGUGCACUCUUCUAUAGGCAGGCCAGCAUCAGUUUGGGCGGUUGGAUAAAGGUCUCUGUCAUGUACCUCUCUUCGGGGAGAACUUAUAGGGGAGACGACAUGCAACCAGCCUGGACUGAGGUCCGCGCAUCUGCUAGGAUGCUGGCGUAAUGGCUGU
rnacentral:rRNA from 1 species